rnacentral:rRNA from 1 species
AGAGUUUGAUCCUGGCUCAGGACGAACGCUGGCGGCGUGCUUAACACAUGCAAGUCAAGGGGAAAGAAGGCUUCGGCUUUUAAGUAUACUGGCGGACGGGUGAGUAACGCGUAGGCAACCUGCCCUUGUGUUAGGAAUAACAUCGAGAAAUUGGUGCUAAUACCUAAUGAGGCAAAAUAGUUAUAUAAUUAAGUUGUUAAAGUUACCGCAAGGUAAUGCACAGGGAUGGGCCUGCGUUCCAUUAGUUAGUUGGUGAGGUAACGGCUUACCAAGACAGCGAUGGAUAGCUGAUCUGAGAGGGUGAUCAGCCACACUGGGACUGAGAUACGGCCCAGACUCCUACGGGAGGCAGCAGUGAGGAAUAUUGCGCAAUGGAGGUAACUCUGACGCAGCAACGCCGCGUGGGGGAUGAAGCUCUAUGGAGUGUAAACCCCUGUAGGUGGGGAAGAAGGUUAUAUUCAAGAAAAGGAAUAUAAGUGACGGUACCCGCAAAGUAAGCUCCGGCUAACUCCGUGCCAGCAGCCGCGGUAAUACGGGGGGAGCGAGCGUUGUCCGGAAUCACUGGGCGUAAAGGGCGUGUAGGCGGGUGAGUAAGUCAGAUGUGAAAGGCUACGGCUUAACCGUAGAAGUGCAUUUGAUACUGCUUGUCUUGAGUGCGAGAGAGGGUAGUGGAAUUCCCAAGCGAAGGCGGCUACCUGGCUCGUAACUGACGCUAAUGCGCGAAAGCGUGGGGAUCAAACAGGAUUAGAUACCCUGGUAGUCCACGCUGUAAACGAUGAGCGCUAGGUGUUGGUCUGCCUUUGGUGGAUCAGUGCCGCAGCUAACGCAAUAAGCGCUCCGCCUGGGGAGUACGAUCGCAAGGUUGAAACUCAAAGGAAUUGACGGGGGCCCGCACAAGCGGUGGAGCAUGUGGUUUAAUUCGAUUCAACGCGCAGAACCUUACCGGGGUUUGACAUGUCGAUGAAUUAUGCAGAGAUGUAUAAGCUCUUCGGAGCAUUGACACAGGUGCUGCAUGGCUGUCGUCAGCUCGUGUCGUGAGAUGUUGGGUUAAGUCCCGCAACGAGCGCAACCCUUGCCUCUAGUUACCAGCGAGUAAAGUCGGGGACUCUAGAGGGACUGCCGGUGACAAACUGGAGGAAGGUGGGGAUGACGUCAAGUCCUCAUGGCCCUUACAUCCCGGGCUACACACGUGCUACAAUGGCCGGUACAACGAGUCGCGAUACCGUAAGGUGGAGCCAAUCUUAAAAACCGGUCUCAGUUCGGAUUGCAGUCUGCAACUUGACUGCAUGAAGUCGGAAUCGCUAGUAAUCACGGAUCAGAACGCCGUGGUGAAUACGUUCCCGGGCCUUGUACACACCGCCCGUCACGCCAUGGGAGUCGGCAGUACCCGAAGCCGGUGUUAAAGCCGUCUAAGGUAAGGCUGAUGACUG